GGACGUUUGGGUGCGAGCGCGGUAGCCGUCGCCGGGGUUUGGGCGCCGUGGCCCGCGAGGCGCGCGGGGGGUUUCCGGGCGCUUCGGCCGGACCCGAGGCGCGGUUCUCCGCCGACGUUCGCUGAGCGCUUACUCUGUGCCCGGGCACCGCUCUCACCCUUCCCUCGGAUUCACCCAGGUCAAACACCAUUUCGGUUCAUCCGAAACCCAGAGGCCGCUCACGAAGGCGCAGAAGGCGUCAGAGUAACUGACUGUGGCUUGGCAAAGUGGGAUCUCUCAACGCCUUAUCUAAUAAAGGUCACCGUCAUUUUAAA